GAGGUCACACUCCAAGGGCCAGUUGUUCAAAGGAAAGCUGAUCGGAUUUUGGUUGUCGGAUUGGAUCAAAUCUUGAAAAUGGGUUGUUCAAAAGGGAAGGAAGAACUCUGAAAUUAGAUUAGAUCACGGAAUCCAAUCCUAGUUUUAAUCUGGAUCAAACCUUAAGUUUGUGUUGUUCAAAACUUGUC